rnacentral:lncRNA from 1 species
UGUAUUAAAAUUCAAGUAGUUCGGCAUCAAAUUACAAUGAGUUGCUUGCAAGUCACUAUGGUGAUCUCAGGUCUGAAGGAUAUUUAUACCCAUGUGUUUCACAAGCAGCUCUUGAUAGUAAAAUGCUCAGCAGGUGAUCACUUGUUCAGUGAUGAUGUACCCUUAUAUCUCACCUGUAUGCCAUACUAGUAUCACCUCACUCCUUGGUUAAGAGGACAACCAACCC